GGAAUUAUUGGGCGUAAGCGCGCGCAGGCGGUUUCUUAAGUCUGAUGUGAAAGCCCACGGCCCUUUCGUGGAGGGUCAUUGGAAACUGGGGAACUUGAGUGCACCUUAGAAAAGCGGAAUUCCACGUGUAGCGGUGAAAUGCGUACAGAUGUGGAGGAACACCAGUGGCGAAGGCGGCUUUCUCCUCUGUAACUGACGCUGAGGUGCGAAAGCGUGGGGAGCAAACCGGAUUAGAUUCCCUGGCCUUCCACGCCGUAAACGAUGAGUGCUAAGCGUUAGAGGCCUUCCGCCUCUUACCGCUGCAGCUAACGCUUUAACCUCUCCGCCUGGGGAGGACGGUCGCAAGACUGAAACUCA
rnacentral:rRNA from 2 species